rnacentral:misc_RNA from 1 species
CGACCGCCAGUCUUGGUUACAGCUUUGGCAGUGGUGUUUUGGCACCAGUUAACGGUGCGGGACGAAAGAAGACCGCGGUGCUGAUGUCAGGCCGAUAGAACCGCGCCUCGGGGCAUUUCCGUUGGAACCGCGUUUUGGACGGAAAACCGGAAGUCGAAACGAGUCGUUGAGAUCUUGGAUGGAAGUGGAAGAAGAAACAUCGUUCUUGUAGCACGUGUUAUGGUCCAUUACGGCUGUGCGAAGACGGACAGCGGUGGAAUCGAAUGCUUCGUGGAGUUUAAAGAAUCAACGAGCGCUCGCCUGUCCGUUAACAGACGUAAGAUUGGCGCCAUGGCCAGGUUCAUAGAGCUUCUGGCAACUAUCGGUUCGUUUAUACUGAUGUUGGUGACGCUCCCCUUUUCCCUCUGCUUUACGUUCAAAGUCGUACAGGAAUACGAACGCGCCGUUGUGUUCAGGAUGGGCCGUCUCAAAGGUGGUGCUUAUGGUCCAGGGACCUUUUUCGUCAUGCCUUGCGUGGACAACUGCGUCCUCGUCGAUAUGAGGACCGUAUCCUUCGACGUACCGCCGCAGGAGAUCCUCACCAAGGACUCUGUCACCGUCAGCGUCGACGCGGUCGUCUAUUACCGAAUCAAGGAGCCCCUCAACGCGGUGGUAAAGAUAGCGAACUACAGUCAUUCCACCCGGCUUCUGGCAUCCAGCACCCUGCGCACCGUCCUCGGCACACGUAGUCUGGCGGAAAUACUCUCGGAGCGAGAAACCAUAUCGCACACGAUGCAGAGCUCGCUCGACGAGGCGACCGACCCUUGGGGCGUUAAGGUGGAACGCGUCGAGAUAAAGGACGUCCGGCUGCCGGUUCAACUGCAGCGAGCUAUGGCAGCGGAAGCCGAGGCUGCGAGAGAAGCCCGGGCCAAAGUAAUCGCCGCUGAGGGUGAGAUGCGCGCAUCUCGUGCUCUCAAAGAAGCGAGUGACGUCAUAUCCGAAAGCCCGGCAGCUCUUCAGCUGCGUUACCUGCAAACUCUGAACAGCAUUUCUGCGGAGAAGAAUUCCACGAUUAUAUUCCCCCUGCCCGUUGACCUUCUCGCACCUUUUCUAUCACUUGGACAGCACCAAUUCCGCCAGCCGCUUCCACAUACCUCCUAGGAUUCACUUCAGCUUAUACUCAAGGCUGUUUAAUACGGAUCACGGAUAGCUGGUACUUCUUGCCAGUGAACAGAGGGUGAUAUCUCGACGGGGCUGCGCCAUCCAUCUUUCCG